AUGAGUGAUGAAACUAUCACGCCUGCAACAAAUUAUAAUGACAAAGAACUUGAUUAUUAUUUUACAUCUCUUUCUCUAGUAACUAAUUGAAGCGAGAGAAUUCAGGAGAAGAAAAAGAAGAAGAAGCUAGCUAAAAGUGAUCAUGACCGAAGAUACUGAAAAUGAUAAAUCAUCAAUCAAAGUCUAAAUAUCAAUUCAAAAACUAGCUCUUUAAUAAUGAAGAGCAAAACUAUUUACUAGUUUGAUUAAAAAUCAGAAACUCAUCAGAAUCUAGAGUAUGCAUUUCAGAAACUUUCUUCUUCAAUCAAUGAAAAACCCUCUGACUACACUUUCAGGGAAAGAAAAUGAAAAGGGAGCAAGAUACCAUGUUGAGUCACUUACUUACCGGUACUGAAAAAGAGGGAGAGAGAUAACGGGAGCGUCUCAACCCAACAACCCUAACGUUAUUCAUGGGAAGAUGUGGCUGGGAGAACCGAGCCAACCCAGAAGAGAACAAAUUCCAUUAACAUAGCCAACUCACACGAGAACAAACCCAGAAAAAAUAUCCUUCCUGCCACUCUAUAACAACAACGCUUGAAUAGAAAGAAAAGAGACGGAGGGCGUUGUUAAUGAGAAAUUUAUCAUUAUUUUUUUUGUUUUCUUUUUCUUUUUUGCCCCCCUUAAUUUCUUCGUUUUUCUUGAGAACUGUCCUCCGCUACCAUGGUAGAUUCGCUGAUUAUUCGCAUGCAAGCAUUCCUUUCUCCGUAUGUAAGCAAAAGAGAGAAAGGAACUGAGAGAAACCAAAAGAUCUGAAAGAAGAGAAAGAAAAGCGGCAGACCCCCCAUUUAGCUGGCUCUCUUCUCCAAAACUCUCAGUUCCUAAAUAUUUCUUUCAACUUUUCUCAUCGUAUUUUUGUCUGUAGCCAUAAUGAAUGGAUGAAUCCUACGACUAUAUAUAAUUAUAUGCAUAGAUAAUUAAUGGAGGUUGAUUAUUAGUUAAUUAGGAUAUAGUUACCUUGAGAAGAGAGUGCCAC
rnacentral:misc_RNA from 1 species